AUUGAACGCUGGCGGCAGGCCUAACACAUGCAAGUCGAGCGGGGCGGCGGACGGGUGAGUAAUGCCUAGGAAUCUGCCUGGUAGUGAGGGAUAACGUCCGGAAACGGGCGCUAAUACCGCAUACUCUCAGAUGAGCCUAGGGCGGAUUAGCUAGUUGGUGGGGUAAAGGCCUACCAAGGCGACGAUCCGUAACUGGUCUGAGCGGAUGAUGAGUCACACUGGAACUGAGACACGGUCCAGACUCCUACGGGAGGCAGCAGGGGGGAAUAGUGGACAAUGGGCGAAAGCCUGAUCCAGCCAUGCCGCGUGUGUGAAGAAGGUCUUCGGAUUGUAAAGCACUUGAAGUUGGGAGGCGUUACCAACAGAAUAAGCACCGGCUAACUUCGUGCCAGCAGCCGCGGUAAUUC
rnacentral:rRNA from 1 species